rnacentral:rRNA from 1 species
AGUGAACGCUGGCGGUAGGCCUAACACAUGCAAGUCGAACGGCAGCACAGUAAGAGCUUGCUCUUACGGGUGGCGAGUGGCGGACGGGUGAGGAAUACAUCGGAAUCUACUUUUUCGUGGGGGAUAACGUAGGGAAACUUACGCUAAUACCGCAUACGACCUACGGGUGAAAGCAGGGGAUCUUCGGACCUUGCGCGAUUGAAUGAGCCGAUGUCGGAUUAGCUAGUUGGCGGGGUAAAGGCCCACCGAGGCGACGAUCCGUAGCUGGUCUGAGAGGAUGAUCAGCCACACUGGAGCUGAGACACGGUCCAGACUCCUACGGGAGGCAGCAGUGGGGAAUAUUGGACAGUGGGCGCAAGCCUGAUCCAGCCAUGCCGCGUGGGUGAAGAAGGCCUUCGGGUUGUAAAGCCCUUUUGUUGGGAAAGAAAAGCAGCAGGUUAAUACCCCGCUGUUCUGACGGUACCCAAAGAAUAAGCACCGGCUAACUUCGU